UUGUAGGAAGGAGUUGGUAUAUUACCAACAUCUGCUGAAGAGUAUAUCAUCUUCUUCCUUCAGAUUACAUCAUGCCAAAAAUCCUGAUAUUUCUGGUCGCUAUGGGGUUGGUGACCCUCUGUGUUACCACACCUCAUCACGAACCGGGUCAUAAGGAUACUGGGCACUCCAGAGACACAUCAGCAACAGCAGCCAACGGUCAAGCAGCUGGCCACGAUCAUCAUGGCAGUCACGAUCACGGUCAUAUACACUCCCACGCUCACGAUCACGAUCAUCAGCAUGAUCACCCUCAUCCACAUCCUCACUGAGAAGAUCUGGACUGUUGCAUACAUCAUGACUCGACAGCAACUAGAGAUACUCAGCGCCAGAAUAGUUACACCAUUGUGUUUUUAUUGAAGUCAAAUUAUACUAAUUUAAGAUCGUUUGUUAAGAUUGUUCUUUAACUCUUCGGUCUCAAGUUCGAAGUAAAAUAAAUAUUAACAAAAAAAUA